GGGGUGGUGGCGCAGUUGGCUAGCGCGUAGGUCUCAUAAUCCUGAGGUCGAGAGUUCGAGCCUCUCUCACACCA
rnacentral:tRNA from 1 species